AUACGGAGGGUGCGAGCGUUAAUCGGAAUUACUGGGCGUAAAGCGCGCGUAGGCGGCUAAGUAAGUCGGAUGUGAAAGCCCUGGGCUCAACCUGGGAAUUGCACUCGAUACUGCUUGGCUAGAGUAUGGUAGAGGGUAGUGGAAUUCCUGGUGUAGCGGUGAAAUGCCUAGAUAUCCGGAGGAACAACAGUGGCGAAGGCGGCUUACUGGACUAAUACUACCACUGAAGUACGAAAGCGUGGGGAGCAAACAGGAUUAGAAACCCCGGUAGUCC
rnacentral:rRNA from 1 species